rnacentral:tRNA from 1 species
UAUGAAAUGCCUGAGCAAAGGAUUAUUUUGAUAGAAUAAAUUACGUGGUAACCCCACUUUCAUUG